CGAAUGCUGACAUAAGUAACGAUAAAGCGGGUGAAAAGCCCGCUCGCCGGAAGACCAAGGGUUCCUGUCCAACGUUAAUCGGGGCAGGGUGAGUCGACCCCUAAGGCGAGGCCGAAAGGCGUAGUCGAUGGGAAACAGGUUAAUAUUCCUGUACUUGGUGUUACUGCGAAGGGGGGACGGAGAAGGCUAUGUUGGCCGGGCGACGGUUGUCCCGGUUUAAGCGUGUAGGCUGGUUUUCCAGGCAAAUCCGGAAAAUCAAGGCUGAGGCGUGAUGACGAGGCACUACGGUGCUGAAGCAACAAAUGCCCUGCUUCCAGGAAAAGCCUCUAAGCAUCAGGUAACAUCAAAUCGUACCCCAAACCGACACAGGUGGUCAGGUAGAGAAUACCAAGGCGCUUGAGAGAACUCGGGUGAAGGAACUAGGCAAAAUGGUGCCGUAACUU
rnacentral:rRNA from 1 species